GACAUGUAACUGGUGAACAAAACGACAAAAUGGAAGGAUAUAAGGUUUGUUAAUUUGGAGGGAAGAAUGAACUUUGAGGGAUGGCACGCAUGUGUUUUGGUGUCAGAGCGACGUAAAAAGGAGAUAGAUACAAGGCUGGAUUUAAGUGUUGGAAGGUAAACGGUGACAUAAAGGGAGUACCAGACAACAUACAGUACGAAGAGCUAAGGUAUAGACAUUUUGAGAAACUCAGGAGUCAAAGGAUAAAAAGGAAGAAAAUACUUUCACUUUCAACGGAACCCGGACUAUAUGACACCACAAUUUCUUACAUAAGAAUAAAGACACGAAAACUGGGCUAAGAGAAGUGUAUUAGUCGAUUAUAUCGGUACUCACCUCACUACCAUCAUACUUAACGGAAGAAUAAAAAGAAAAGUACAACCUUUUUGGGUCGAGUUUAAAAAUGCAACAACCUCUAUCUCGAAUACCCCUAACAUACACGUCCUCGCGUGGAGUUCUAAUCCAAGGCGAUGCGCCUUUAUUCCUUACUUCGGUAUUUCCCGACAAAACCUGAACAUGGUCAAUCAACCUGCUAGAAAUAGCAGCUGAAUCGCCUUUAAAUCUAACUCUGAUAGCUCAAGAAAGGACACACUUGAUAAUAUCCUGGAUUUCCAAAGAAGAAAAAAAAAGACAGAUGGUCACAGCUAGAACGUCUUCAAUCAUAAUUCUGAUCGAUCGAUCAGAACUGACCUGUGGCUAAGCAACAGCAUCGACCACGAGUUCAAUAUUCCUAAAUUCCCAUGUCAGCUGCUCGAGAUAUUUUCCCCCAACUCUGGAGGCGGUUAAGUCCUCCCACCUGACUGUGUAGAUGGAAGAACAUUGUGAAACUGAUCAUGUAGUGGCCAAAGAAUACAUAUACUUACAGAAAACAGAACAAUUCGAAAGCUCUCGAUUCCGUCCGUAUGUAAAAUAUGCGGCGUUCCAAAUUUUUCAAAUAUUUUUGUAAUAUUUAGUCAAAUGUUUUAAGUGUUCGCUUGGGACAGUUAUACUUGCAAGUUUUGAACUUAAAUGACUUAAGGAGAAAUAAUUUGAUCGAUAUCUACCCGUAGAGUAAUAUUUAUGCUAAUUGCUAUUUUCACGGAAACGUUUCGGUACACCAUCUCUGAUCAAGUCACCUGACAAUCAAAUAAAACUAAUGGGAUUGGUGUCAGUUAAAUGUCUUAUGCAAAAGUUGUUUGCAAUGUUUAUACAGUUUCCUGGCAUUAUGAAAGUGAAUGGAAUAUGUGAAUUUACUACAGAUAAUUUGAAAUAACUUUUGAAUUCUGCAUGCAAAAACAUAUAAGAUACAGAAGAUCCAAGAAUUAAGACCAUCCUGUAAGGCUGGACUCAGAAAGCGUGACAUUACACACAUUCCAAUCAAGUAUGAGUCUGAAAGGAAAUUGUAAUUUUAUGACGUAUGUCAACAACAACAUAUAUUGCUAUUUUUAGAUCCAGCUCAGCUCUGACCAAGCUAAACUGUAAUCAAAGACUUCUGGCUUUUAUCAUCCCAUCUUAUUCUCAAGGAUAUAUUCAAGACAACAUCUAAUGUGUCUUUCCUGUUUGAAGACAGUAAGAUAUGAGUUGAAAGCAAUUUAGCUGCUGUUUCUAGCACAUUGAAUGAACAUACAGAGGCUCCUGUGUUUGUUGUUGUUCAACCUUAAUUCUGAUUAAACAUCCAGUAGAGACCA